rnacentral:rRNA from 1 species
AAAUUGAAGAGUUUGAUCAUGGCUCAGAUUGAACGCUGGCGGCAGGCCUAACACAUGCAAGUCGAACGGUAACAGGAAGAAGCUUGCUUCUUUGCUGACGAGUGGCGGACGGGUGAGUAAUGUCUGGGAAACUGCCUGAUGGAGGGGGAUAACUGCUGGAAACGGUAGCUAAUACCGCAUAACGUCGCAAGACCAAAGAGGGGGACCUUCGGGCCUCUUGCCAUCGGAUGUGCCCAGAUGGGAUUAGCUAGUAGGUGGGGUAACGGCUCACCUAGGCGACGAUCCCUAGCUGGUCUGAGAGGAUGACCAGCCACACUGGAACUGAGACACGGUCCAGACUCCUACGGGAGGCAGCAGUGGGGAAUAUUGCACAAUGGGCGCAAGCCUGAUGCAGCCAUGCCGCGUGUAUGAAGAAGGCCUUCGGGUUGUAAAGUACUUUCAGCGGGGAGGAAGGGAGUAAAGUUAAUACCUUUGCUCAUUGACGUUACCCGCAGAAGAAGCACCGGCUAACUCCGUGCCAGCAGCCGCGGUAAUACGGAGGGUGCAAGCGUUAAUCGGAAUUACUGGGCGUAAAGCGCACGCAGGCGGUUUGUUAAGUCAGAUGUGAAAUCCCCGGGCUCAACCUGGGAACUGCAUCUGAUACUGGCAAGCUUGAGUCUCGUAGAGGGGGGUAGAAUUCCAGGUGUAGCGGUGAAAUGCGUAGAGAUCUGGAGGAAUACCGGUGGCGAAGGCGGCCCCCUGGACGAAGACUGACGCUCAGGUGCGAAAGCGUGGGGAGCAAACAGGAUUAGAUACCCUGGUAGUCCACGCCGUAAACGAUGUCGACUUGGAGGUUGUGCCCUUGAGGCGUGGCUUCCGGAGCUAACGCGUUAAGUCGACCGCCUGGGGAGUACGGCCGCAAGGUUAAAACUCAAAUGAAUUGACGGGGGCCCGCACAAGCGGUGGAGCAUGUGGUUUAAUUCGAUGCAACGCGAAGAACCUUACCUGGUCUUGACAUCCACGGAAGUUUUCAGAGAUGAGAAUGUGCCUUCGGGAACCGUGAGACAGGUGCUGCAUGGCUGUCGUCAGCUCGUGUUGUGAAAUGUUGGGUUAAGUCCCGCAACGAGCGCAACCCUUAUCCUUUGUUGCCAGCGGUCCGGCCGGGAACUCAAAGGAGACUGCCAGUGAUAAACUGGAGGAAGGUGGGGAUGACGUCAAGUCAUCAUGGCCCUUACGACCAGGGCUACACACGUGCUACAAUGGCGCAUACAAAGAGAAGCGACCUCGCGAGAGCAAGCGGACCUCAUAAAGUGCGUCGUAGUCCGGAUUGGAGUCUGCAACUCGACUCCAUGAAGUCGGAAUCGCUAGUAAUCGUGGAUCAGAAUGCCACGGUGAAUACGUUCCCGGGCCUUGUACACACCGCCCGUCACACCAUGGGAGUGGGUUGCAAAAGAAGUAGGUAGCUUAACCUUCGGGAGGGCGCUUACCACUUUGUGAUUCAUGACUGGGGUGAAGUCGUAACAAGGUAACCGUAGGGGAACCUGCGGUUGGAUCACCUCCUUACCUUAAAGAAGC